AAAACUCAAAGGAAUUGUCGGGGGCCCGCACAAGCAGUGGAGCAUGUGGUUUAAUUCGAUGCAACGCAAAGAGCCUUACCUGGGGCUCGAGAAUGUAGAGAACGAUGUCAGAGAUGCGCAUUUCCCGAAAGGGUCUCUAUAGAGGUGCUGCAUGGCUGUCGUCAGCUCGUGCCGUGAGGUGUUUGGUUAAGUCCAGCAACGAGCGCAACCCUUAUCGUUAGUUGCCAGCGCGUAAAGGCGGGAACUCUAACGAGACUGCCUGGGUUAACCAGGAGGAAGGUGAGGAUGACGUCAAGUCCGCAUGGCCUUUAUGUCCAGGGCUACACACGUGCUACAAUGGUCGGCACAGAAGGCAGCGGAACCGUAAGGUGAAGCAAAUCCCAAAAAGCCGAUCUCAGUUCAGAUUGUAGUCUGCAACUCGACUACAUGAAGUUGGAAUUGCUAGUAAUGGCGUGUCAGCAACAACGCCGUGAAUACGUUCCCGGGCCUUGUACACGCCGCCCGUCACAUCAUGGGAGUUGGUUUUACCCGAAGUCACUGACCCG
rnacentral:rRNA from 1 species